CAAAUUAAAUCUAUAUAUUAGAGUUUCAUUUACAUUGAAGAUAUUUUUGUUUAUUCAAAUUAAUUUGA
rnacentral:tRNA from 1 species